rnacentral:rRNA from 1 species
AGAGAUUAGAGUUUGAUCCUGGCUCAGGAUGAACGCUGGCGGCGUGCUUAACACAUGCAAGUCGAACGAACCUUCGGGUUAGUGGCGGACGGGUGAGUAACGCGUGAGAAUCUGCCCUCAGGAGGGGGAUAACAGUUGGAAACGACUGCUAAUACCCCAUAUGCCGAAAGGUGAAAUGAAUUUUGCCUGGGGAUGAGCUCGCGUCUGAUUAGCUUGUUGGUAGGGUAAAGGCCUACCAAGGCAUUGAUCAGUAGCUGGUCUUAGAGGACGAUCAGCCACACUGGGACUGAGACACGGCCCAGACUCCUACGGGAGGCAGCAGUGGGGAAUUUUCCGCAAUGGGCGAAAGCCUGACGGAGCAACGCCGCGUGAGGGACAAAGGCCUUUGGGCUGUAAACCUCUUUUCUCAAGGAAGAAGAUCUGACGGUACUUGAGGAAUAAGCCACGGCUAAUUCCGUGCCAGCAGCCGCGGUAAUACGGGAGUGGCAAGCGUUAUCCGGAAUUAUUGGGCGUAAAGCGUCCGCAGGCGGCCGUCUAAGUCUGUUGUUAAAUCGUGGAGCUCAACUCCAUCACGGCAAUGGAAACUGUUCGGCUUGAGUAUGGUAGGGGCAGAGGGAAUUUCCGGUGUAGCGGUGAAAUGCGUAGAUAUCGGGAAGAACACCAGUGGCAAAAGCGCUCUGCUGGGCCAUUACUGACGCUCAUGGACGAAAGCCAGGGGAGCGAAAGGGAUUAGAUACCCCUGUAGUCCUGGCCGUAAACGAUGAACACUAGAUGUUGGGGGAAUCGACCCCCUCGGUGUCGUAGCUAACGCGUUAAGUGUUCCGCCUGGGGAGUACGCACGCAAGUGUGAAACUCAAAGGAAUUGACGGGGGACCGCACAAGCGGUGGAGUAUGUGGUUUAAUUCGAUGCAACGCGGAGAACCUUACCAAGGCUUGACAUCCCGCGAAUCUCUAAGAAACUAGAGAGUGCCUUCGGGAACGCAGUGACAGGUGGUGCAUGGCUGUCGUCAGCUCGUGUCGUGAGAUGUUGGGUUAAGUCCCGCAACGAGCGCAACCCACGUUUUUAGUUGCCAGCAUUAAGUUGGGCACUCUAGAAAGACUGCCGGUGACAAACCGGAGGAAGGUGUGGACGACGUCAAGUCAUCAUGCCCCUUACGCCUUGGGCUACACACGUACUACAAUGCUGCAGACAAAGAGUAGCGAUCUUGCAAAAGUUAGCUAAUCUCAUAAACUGCGGCUCAGUUCAGAUCGUAGGCUGCAACUCGCCUACGUGAAGGAGGAAUCGCUAGUAAUCGCAGGUCAGCAUACUGCGGUGAAUACGUUCCCGGUCCUUGUACACACCGCCCGUCACACCAUGGAAGUUGGCCAUGCCCGAAGUCGUUACUCUAACCUUUUGGAAGAGGGCGCCGAAGGCAGGGCUAAUGACUGGGGUGAAGUCGUAACAAGGUAGCCGUA